GCCUGGGUGGCUGAAUCAUUUAAGCAUUUGACUUUGGCUCAGGUCACGAUCUCACAGUUCAUGGGUUCAAGCCCCAUGUCAGGCU
rnacentral:tRNA from 1 species